rnacentral:rRNA from 1 species
AGUGAACGCUGGCGGUAGGCCUAACACAUGCAAGUCGAACGGCAGCACAGUAAGAGCUUGCUCUUACGGGUGGCGAGUGGCGGACGGGUGAGGAAUACAUCGGAAUCUACUUUUUCGUGGGGGAUAACGUAGGGGAACUUACGCGAAUACCGCAUACGACCUACGGGUGGAAGCAGGGGAUCUUCGUACCUUGCGCGAUUGAAUGAGCCGAUGUCGGAUUAGCUAGUUGGCGGGGGAAAGGCCCACCAAGGCGACGAACCGUAGCUGGUCUGAGAGGAUGAUCAGCCACACUGGAACUGAGACACGGGCCAGACUCCUACGGGAGGCAGCAGUGGGGAAUAUUGGACAAUGGGAGCAAGCCUGAUCCAGCAAUACCGCGUGGGUGAAGAAGGCCUUCGGGUUGGAAAGCCCUUUUGUUGGGAAAGAAAAGCAGCAGGUUAAUACCCAGCUGUUCUGACGGUACCCAAAGAAUAAGCACCGGCUAACUUCGUG